GCCUACGGCCAUACCACGUAGAAUGCACCGGUUCUCGUCCGAUCACCGAAGUUAAGCUGCGUCGGGCGUGGUUAGUACUUGCAUGGGAGACCGGCUGGGAAUACCACGUGCUGUAGGCUU
rnacentral:rRNA from 14 species